UAGCUCAGUCAGUAAAGAGUCUGCCUGCAAUGCAGGAGACCCAGGUUCGAUUCCUGG
rfam:TPA: Bos taurus chromosome 14, whole genome shotgun sequence.